UGAGCAACCUACCCUUGACUCCGGGAUAACAGUUGGAAACAGCUGCUAAUACCGGAUACGACCUCGACCGACAUCAGUUGAGGUGGAAAGUUCUGGCGGUCAAGGAUGGGCUCGCGGCCUAUCAGCUAGUUGGUGAGGUAACGGCUCACCAAGGCUUCGACGGGUAGCCGGCCUGAGAGGGCGACCGGCCACACUGGGACUGAGAUACGGCCCAGACUCCUACGGGAGCAGNAGGU
rnacentral:rRNA from 1 species